UCUUUGUCUGGAAUUGUACAUCUAUGCCUUGUCCUACGUGUGAGUUCCUGCCUGUUCUGUGUGUGCUCCAGUAUUUGGAAGAAUAAAGACUAUUGGAUGUUAUUCCUUCUCAUCUCCACCACAGUAGCACACUAACGAGCUGUGGACAAUGGUAACGUGCCUGAGACGGGAAUCCCUUGGCUCGAUGUGCUGUGACUGAAUGGAUAGAUUAGCCAUAGAAUAUCCAGGGAGCAUCCUGCCAAGAUGAAAGAAGCCCUCCUCUAGACACCCCACCAUCCACAACCCACAUU
ensembl:lncRNA